rnacentral:rRNA from 1 species
AUUGAACGCUGGCGGCAGGCCUAACACAUGCAAGUCGAACGAGUGGCGGACGGGUGAGUAAUGUCUGGGAAACUGCCUGAUGGAGGGGGAUAACGACUGGAAACGGUAGCUAAUACCGCAUACCAGCAGAUGUGCCCAGCUGGGAUUAGCUAGUUGGUGGGGUAACGGCUCACCAAGGCGACGAUCCCUAGCUGGUCUGAGAGGAUGGCCAUCCGACGUGGAACUGAAGCAGUGUCCAGACUCCUACGUGAGGCAGCAGUGGGGAAUAUUGCGCAAUGGGCGCAAGCCUGAUGCAGCCAUGCAGCGUGGAUGAUGAAGGCCUUCGGGUUGUAAAGUACUUUCAGCGGGGAGGCGUUACCCGCAGAAGAAGCACCGGCUAACUCCGUGCCAGCAGCCGCGGUAAUUC